ensembl:lncRNA
CUUUAUUUUAUCUUUAACAACUAACUUCCUUCUUAGACGGUAUCUGAGGUGUCUCUUCCUCCAUAAGGUUCAUUUUCACCUUUUCUCUCUUUUUCUCUGUUACUCAGCUGACCUUUCUUGGAUGAACACUGGUUUACUGGUUCCCUUACUGGUGGGCUCUGCACUGGGACUUGUUCUCAUUGUUUCUUUAAUGUGCUUGCUAAUAAGGCAAAAAAGAGCUUGUGAUGCUGAACAGGACAAAGGCAAAGGUGCUGAACACAACGGUGGAGGGAGAGACUACAGCUCCAGAGUAUAGGCCAUCGUUCUUCAAAGACUGUUGUCCUUUUCCAUCACUCUGUAAUUGUCAGCAUGACAUGUUUACGUAGAUGCAUG